rnacentral:rRNA from 1 species
AUUGAACGCUGGCGGCAGGCCUAACACAUGCAAGUCGAGCGGAUGAAGGGAGCUUGCUCCUGGAUUCAGCGGCGGACGGGUGAGUAAUGCCUAGGAAUCUGCCUGGUAGUGGGGGAUAACGUCCGGAAACGGGCGCUAAUACCGCAUACGUCCUGAGGGAGAAAGUGGGGGAUCUUCGGACCUCACGCUAUCAGAUGAGCCUAGGUCGGAUUAGCUAGUUGGUGGGGUAAAGGCCUACCAAGGCGACGAUCCGUAACUGGUCUGAGAGGAUGAUCAGUCACACUGGAACUGAGACACGGUCCAGACGCCUACGGGAGGGAGCAGUGGGGAAUAUUGGACAAUGGGCGAAAGCCUGAUCCAGCCAUGCCGCGUGUGUGAAGAAGGUCUUCGGAUUGUAAAGCACUUUAAGGGGGGAGGAAGGGCAGUAAGUUAAUACCUUGCUGUUUUGACGUUACCAACAGAAUAAGCACCGGCUAACUUCGUG